GGAGGCAUAGCCCAGUUGGUUAGAGCGCUACGUUGACAUCGUAGAGGUCAUAAGUUCGAGUCUUAUUGUCUCCA
rnacentral:tRNA from 1 species